UCAAUUCAGUUCAGUAAACACUGCCGCUAUCAUGAAGCACCACCACCGGCGAGUCGUAUCCGCCACUUCCAGCGCGGUUUAUUUGCUGAGUCGCCAUUACGCCACCAAAUACACGGCCAAGGUGACCUCAACAUCUCCUACCGGUCGCACCCUUUCUGUCGAGGUCACCCCUCCCUCUCCCCUUCCUUUCGAUAAUCGCGGAUACCCUCUCCCCCGUCGCCACCUCAUCUGCAAAGCCUCUAACAUCAUCCUCCACAACCAAUCCCUUCCCUCCGCCGCGUUGUCGCUUGAUGACCGAUUCCAGGACCUCUCCGAUUACCUCUCUACCCUCUCCCUCUCCCUCACUCCAGAUGAAGCGUCCGAAAUACUCAAAUCCCUGAAAUGUCCUCGCCUGGCGCUCAAAUUCUUCAAAUUUUGUCCCUCCCUUUCCCCGAAUUUCCGCCAUACCCCUUUCACGUACAACCGUCUUCUACUAAUCUUCUCCAAGUCCACGCUACCUUCUCGGUUCGAUCUUGUCCGUUCGCUCACGGACGAGAUGCUCAAGUCCGAUGUGCGCGGCAAUAUAUCCACCGUGCAUCUCUUGAUUGGGAUUUUUGGAGACAGCGAGGAUUUGGAGAGGUGUCUCGAGUUGGUCAAGAGGUGGGACCUGAGAAUGAACUGCUACACUUACAAGUGCUUAAUUCAAGCUUUUCUGCGUUCGCGGGAUUCACAGAAGGCUUUGAAUGCGUACAUGGAGAUGAGGAAGAAAGGUUACAAGUUGGACAUUUUCGCAUAUAAUAUGCUUUUGGAUGCUUUGGCCAAGGACGAGAAGGUUGAACAGGCUUAUAAGGUUUUUGAAGACAUGAAACGAAAGCAUUGUGAGCCUGAUGAGUAUACAUACACAAUUAUGAUCAGAAUGACUGGGAAGACUGGUAAACCUGGUGAAUCACUUGCACUGUUUGAGGAAAUGAUAUCUAAGGGCUAUUCUCCUAAUGCAAUUGCUUAUAAUACCAUGAUCCAAGUGCUCGCUAAUGCCCGCAUGGUUGAUAAAGCAAUGUUUCUCUUCUCCAAAAUGGUGGAGAAAGAUUGUCGACCCAAUGAAUUUACAUAUAGUGUCAUCCUCAAUGUUUUAGUUGCACAAGGGAAACUUCAUAAGCUCGACGAGGUUGUGGAAAUAUCAAAGAAAUACAUGAAUAAGUCGAUAUAUGGGUAUCUUGUGAGGACAUUAAGUAAAUUGGGUCAUGCGAGUGAAGCACACCGGUUGUUUUGCAACAUGUGGAAACUCCAUGAUAAUGGGGAUAGAGAUGCAUAUAUGUCUAUGUUAGAGAGUCUAUGCGAUGCGGGUAAAACAGUAGAGGCUAUGGACCUGCUUAGUAAGAUUCAAGAAAAAGAAAUAACUGCUGAUAUUAUGAUGUAUAAUGUGGUAUUCUCUGCCCUAGGUAAGUUGAAGCAAGUAUCUCAUAUUCAUGAUCUUUAUCAGAAAAUGAAACAAGAUGGCCCUUCCCCUGACAUAUUCACUUACAAUAUUCUGAUCUCAAGCUUCGGUAGGGCUGGAAACGUUGAUGAGGCUAUUAAAAUUUUUGAAGAACUUGAGAAUAGUGGAUGUAAUCCUGAUAUUAUCUCUUACAAUUCUUUGAUCAAUUGCCUAGGAAAGAAUGGUAAUCUUGAUGAAGCUCACAUGAGGUUUAGGGAGAUGCAGGAAAAAGGAUUGACUCCUGAUGUUAUCACCUAUAGCACACUUAUUGAGUGCUUUGGGAAGACAGAAAAACUUGAGAUGGCUUGCAGGUUGUUUGAUGAGAUGCUUUCUGAAGGUUGCUUUCCUAACCUUGUAACAUACAACAUUCUCCUUGACUGUCUUGAGAGGAGUGGGAGAACAGCUGAAGCUGUAGAUUUGUAUUCUAAACUUAAACAACAGGGAUUAACACCUGAUUCAAUCACAUAUACUGUCCUUGAGCGAUUGCAAAGUGGUUCACAUAAAAAGGUUAGAAUACGAAGGCAGAAUCCAAUAACAGGUUGGGUUGUCAGUCCGUUAAGGUGAUAAGUUUUAUUACAUUGCUUAAAAGGAUAUGCUGAUUGAUAUAAAUUUCUUCAUAUUGGUUAAUUGUUCGAAACUGUCUUUUUCUAUGACCACUUAAAGAGAUCUUGUUCUGUUGUCUGUUGACAAUGGAAAGACACUUCUUCUGUUUAGACUAUUGGCACUAUCAUCUCAUAAUUUUUCACAAAGUUGUUGCAUAUCAAAUGGAUUUUGGGACCAUAGGAAAGAUUUAUACUGCUUUCCAACCUGCUCUUUUUCUUGAAGACAUUGUCAGCUGGGGCCUUUUUGUAGUCAAGAUGUCAAGCUUCUGAAACGAAACGAUACUUGGAUCCUAAAUUUAAUACCACGCUUUGAUGUGGGGCAUUGAUUAUUAUGGCACCGAUACACUCUGUGUGCCACUGUUAAGAACCAGGCCUUAUCAGCCACAUUGGCAACAGAAUGGGCAUGUUAGCUUGUAUUCUUCUCUUCUACAGAAUGCAUGCUCAAAUUGGCUCUAAAAUAGCUGGUGCACUAACAAGUUGACAUGGAGUUGGUCCAUGGCAUUUUGAGCAAGGUUGGAUAAAUUUGAGAUCAUAAGGAAAAGGUUCGGAAGCUCUCCUUGCAAGUUCAGGUUAAUUAUUAUGGAAGGAAAAAAUUAUAAGAAUUUUCUUGUCACUUCAAAAAUGCUUUCUUGGCACUCCCCCUACAAGGAAGGACUAGCUCUGAUUCCAUAGGCGACAUGUCGGAGAAUUUGGAUGGAGAGAACCAAAAGAUACCUUGGUGACAUUAAGACAUUUGGUGAAAAUUAUUGAUAGUUGCUUUAAUAUUGUUAUUGUUUGGAUUUUGGGCAAAUAAGUUUUUAUAUAUACAAGAGCCUGUGCAUCUCUAUUAUCUGUUGCUGGAACUACAAGAGCCUCUUUCGUAUCUGCAACUACAACAGUGGAUAUGCUCCUCCAACGACUGAUUCGCUUUCCCAGUGGGGAAACAUGAAACUAUCUGCCUGUCUACAAGUCUUAUAUGAGAUUAUUAGAUGCACUUACUAAGGGCAGCUCAAUAUUUUGGACAUGAAGGCUGCGGUUGUAGGCGUGCAUGUAUCUAUUUCAUGCCCAGUGUGUACUGAGUGGUUCAUGGAUUUAUAAGGGUGAGUUGGCAAUUCAUCUAUAAGGCUGGUCUUUUAUGUUGUGUAACCCAAGCUGCUGACAGCCCAACAGCUGGACAGCUGAUGAUGGUGCGCUAGAAAAAAAGCUUAAUUAUCAAUUUAAACCAUGGCGACUAUGUAAUUAAUCAUUAGAAUUAUUUACUUAAAUGUAAAAAGUGCUUCUUAUGUGA